GUGUCAGCCGCCGCGGUAAUACGUAGGUGGCAAGCGUUGUCCGGAAUUACUGGGCGUAAAGGGCGUGUAGGCGGCCUUUUAAGUCAGACGUGAAAACCCUGGGCUUAACCCAGGAACUGCGUUUGAAACUGGAAGGCUUGAGGACCGGAGAGGGUAGUGGAAUUCCCAGUGUAGCGGUGAAAUGCGUAGAUAUUGGGAGGAACACCAGUGGCGAAGGCGACUGCCUGGACGGCACCUGACGCUGAGGCGCGAAAGCUAGGGGAGCAAACGGGAUUAGAUACCCUGGUAGUCC
rnacentral:rRNA from 1 species